CAUCAAGCAGUAAACUAAAUAAGCAGUUAUUUAGAUCAAAUUACAAUAAUUGAGUUAAAAUCAAACUAGUAAAAGACAAGACCACACUAGCAGUCGUACAAUACCCAAAGUACAUCAAGCGAAAAGAGAACCAGCGAUCACCAUCAAACAGAGAAUGAACUUGGUCGCCAGGAUACCACUUGCGCUGCUGGGGGUAUAAUUGUUGCAAUUAUCGGUCUUACAGCACACACCAACACAAGAUUUCAAACUAUAUUUUACGAUCCUGCGCUCACAUGUUUUUUCAGCAUUAGGACAAUCCACCUUGUCGGUAGGAUCGCUGUUGGCACAAUUUCUAAUAACCCUUACUGUGCCGUCAGCUAUGGUAUAAGUUGCUGAGUAACAGUACCCCGUGGUACAGUUGACUGUUGUAUUUCCGCACAUUUGUUCUGCUUUUGACUGUUUUGAUGUGUAAGCACACCAAUUGCAUGUCAGAGCACUCCCUAAA